rnacentral:sRNA from 1 species
AUUCAAAAACAUUUUUCAAUUAUUUUCUUACUCUGUCUCAUAUUUGGGAUAGUAUUGUGGACUUUUUUGCCACUUAGAAUUUAUUGCAUGUACAAAAUAUUUGGCACCGUAAGAUUAUUUUAUUAAUCCAGUUUGAUUUUAAGUUUAAUGAAGAUCUUCCUGAACAAAAUACUGUAUUAAUAACAAUUACAUGUAAAUAUUCAAGUUAUUACUUCACUAUCAUAUUUGAUACUACACAUACAAUGCUGUAGAAUAGUUCUUCUUCAAAUAAUAGUAUUAGCAGAGUAAAUAGAGCUGUCUAAAUUUCUAUGCUUUGAUAUAUUUUUUAUGACGGGGCCAGAACUAAUGUGAAUGAAAUUGUGCAAAAUAAAUUGCAUGCAAGAUUAAAUGUUCGCCAGAGGCCAACAAAUUUUAUUCAGUGUGCAAAUUUUAUUUAGUGUGUAAAAUUUCUAGAAGUGCAAAUAAGUUCUUUUUUAUGACACAUUCUAAUCUUUAAAUGAACCAGUAAAUUGCUUUAUUCAUUCUGGACAAGAUUCUGUUUUUCUUUCAUUUCAAUAAAAGAUGCAAGGAGUGGGAGGGCAAUCAUUGGUAGAUCAUCAAACUAGUUGAUGCCCAUUGAAUCUCUCUAUGAAAUAAGUAUAACUUUAUUGCAAGAUAAUACCAUCAAUGAAUCAUUAUCAUUAAUGAUAACAACUUACGGUAGUUGUGUUACUGUAAGUUUUACAGGUAUACUGGUUACAGUUUUACAGGUAUACUGUAACUACAUCCCCCCUUUAUAUUGUCAAAUUGUUUACAGUUAUCUAUUCAAGAAAAUUCACUCUUUGCAAAACCAUGAUCCCCAUGAAAUCAUGUGAAAAGUCUACAAAACAGUGCUCCUACCCAAACCCUCUGAAAUUAAAGAUUCCAAAACUAAAUUCCUCCCAUCGAAUACCGGUAUGUACUGGUGUACAACAAUGAUUAACGUGGGAUCGCAUUCAUCUCAAGUUUGUAUGUUUUUGACAAAUUGUUGAUGUAUGAAAAAGGAUAAUUUUACUCUUGUUGAAACAUUUAUGCUGUACCUUGAAGUAUUUUAUGAAUGAAGAUUUUUAAACAAAAUAAAAAAAUUAAGAUUUG